rnacentral:misc_RNA from 1 species
GAGAAAAGAAGGGCUCCUUGGUGACAGGAAAUGCAGAUCCUGAUUGUGGGAAUUUUCUGGCAAUAGUAGAAUAUAGUUGUUUGAGUGUUUAUCUUGGUGAUUCAGAUGAUGAGACAGGUAGAAAAAUAGGUAUGGAAUUUAGGGUACUACAUGACCGAGGGCUUUGGUCUGCCUUAGGUAUUGAAAUUGAACAAAAUCAUUGAUGAAUCUAAUAUUCACUACGCAAAUCAUUUCAGAUGAUUAAGUGCAAUUUUGUGACUAAAUAAAAAAAAGGUGACCCAGUGCGCAAAGCAUCCCACACUUGUGGG